rnacentral:rRNA from 1 species
UACGAAGGGGCUAGCGUUGCUCGGAAUUACUGGGCGUAAAGGGCGCGUAGGCGGCACUGUUAGUCAGGCGUGAAAGUCCUGGGCUCAACCUGGGAACUGCAUUUGUGACUGCAUGGCUGGAGUGUGGCAGAGGGGGGUGGAAUUCCGCGUGUAGCAGUGAAAUGCGUAGAGAUGCGGAGGAACACCGAUGGCGAAGGCAGCCCCUGGGCUGACACUGACGCUCAGGCACGAAAGCGUGGGGAGCAAACAGG